GUUUUCUCUUGCAACAUUUCUACAUCUCUUAAACAGUUGUAUGCCAGAAACUGAACUGUGCAGAACUGUGCCCAACGACACCUGCAGCUGAUUAAACGUCUGUAAGUAGACACACAUAUAUACACAUACACUCCGGUUUAGGAGAAUAGCAUCUAACACAGUGAGACAUGCAUUAUUAACCAUUUUUUAAAUGAAUUAUUAUUAACUACAAUCACUUCAAUUAUGCCAUUUAAUUCAUUUAAUUAAUUCAUUCUUACAUUAUAUUUUGAUUAUAUUAUUUUUAUUUUUAUUUUGAUCAUUAUCUUGAAUUCAUGUCAUAAUUUGGUCCCACAGAUACAUACAUGCAUUAAAAAUAAGUUUAGUGGUUAGGGGUAAAAUAAUGGGGGUUACAAACAAUAUGAAGUCAUACAAGUCAAAAUUAGAACGAUAUAACAUGAAUUGCUAAUCUUAUUUUUGAAGGGGGUUCCUAAGGCACUUGGCGCAGCGGCAGAAGGUUUUGGGUAAACAUAAUGGCAUAAUGUCAAGAGGGAAGAGCACUAAUACCUUGCUCUUCACAGUCGGUAGUUGACCUUAAGUUCCGUCCGGGUUUUCCAGUCCCGAUCCCAGUUUCCCGUAAAUCUGUCUACGAUAUUGUUAGGUGAUAUUGUUCGCAGCACAAAACCCACCCCAUUUUCCCUGAGCCUAGCCGGCCAACCCUUAAGUAGACAGAGAGUGCUGACGAGACGACACUGCUCGUGUCCGUUACAGUUUAAUGCAGGCUAAUACUUCAUGAACUUCAAUUAGUUAAGCCGGUAUUUUCACAAGGCCCUGACGGAGUUCCCGGCUGUGUACUCAGGUACUGUGUCGAGUCUGUGUGCGGGCCUUUGCUUAAACUUUUCACUCUAUCCAUCCGUUCUUCUAGCUUUCCCCCAUCUGGGAGGAAUCCUUUAUAAUUCCUCUCCAUAAAAAAGGUAGCAAGUCUGACGCUAAAAACUAUAUGUUUGGAUACUAUGGAUUUCUAGCUACCUGUGUUCUAGGUUUCAAAGAGUCCUCUUCCAAAACUCCUUAUCUUUACCUGUUAUGGUUACUUCUGGAGUACUACAGGGUAGCCAUUUAGGCCCCUUACUUUACACACUCUUUAUUAAUGACAUGCCUUCUGUAUUAACAAAUUCUCGAGUACUUAUGUAUGCGGAUGAUGUUAUGCUCUGUGUCCAGUAUAAGGACAUUUCAUUUCACUCUCGGUUGCAAUCAGAUCUCAAUAUCUUUUAGUCAUGGUGCUGUGCAAAUAUGUUACAACUUAAUGCCUCGAAGUGCAAUGUAAUGACUUUUUAUCGCUCCAACCCCUUCCUGGCUCCUUACACCCUCUGCGGUAGUUCUCUUGAGAGAAUUACAUUGGAUAAUGAUCUAGGUGUUAAACUAGACGCCAAUUUAAAGUUUUCUGAACACAUUUCUACCAUGGUAAAUAAAGCCAUGGGUGUGCUUGGGUUUAUAAAGAGGUGGUCAAAGGAAUUUGAUGAUCCCUAUAUAAUUAAGACUCUCUAUAUAUCGCUUGUUCGUCCGAUUUUAGGGUACGGCUCAUGUGUAUGGCGCCCUCAGUACAACAUACAUCAGGACCGUAUUGAAUCAGUACAGAAAAACUUUUUAUUAUUUGCCCUACGGGGCCUCAACUGGGAUGCAACUGUGAGACUGCCAUCCUACCGUAGUAGACUUCUUUUAAUAAAUAUUCAAUCCUUAGUUAGUCGUAGAAAAAUGCUUGGUGUAAUUUGUAUGCACAACUUGAUCAAGGGGGAUGUAGACAGCCCUGUCUUGCUGAGCCGCAUAAACUUUACGAUUCCCAUUAGACCCACUAGAAACUUUAUUCCUUUGUUCCUUCCACUAUGUAGAUCGAAUUAUGCCUCACACGAACCCUUUAGGGUUUUAUGUUCGGAUUAUAAUUCCCUCUACCACAUUAUAUCCUCAACUAACUCCCUUCCUCUUCUUAAAUCUCUUAUACUAGCCUACCUCUCCCGUAGUUAGUUUCAUUUUAGUUUUGUCUUGUUUUUGAUUUUGGUAAUUGUUGCUUGCUUAGCUAUACUUUCUCUAAUUUAGUUGUGUUUAGUUCUAAUUUUCUUCGAAUAUUAGCCUAACAUCUAUCUUGCCUGCAUGCUCGCGACCAGUUCGGUUAAUCGCGCCGCGCGUCAUGCGGCAGCGCCCCUCGGUCGGUUGGGCGGGAGGAGGGCUGCGUUCUGCUGGGUUCCGCGCGUAACAGGCUUUGGCUUGGUGUCGCAAUGGCCACUUGAUGGUGCAGUCAUUGCAUAUCAACGUCCAGACAAUACUUCGGAGCAGCAGCAAAUACAUAAUUCUUAAGAUCAGCUCGCCUUGUUUGUAUUCAUACUCUCUUUAUAAUCUCUUAUACUAAUAAGCUAUUGUCCCGCUCAUCGCUCCCUCUCACAGUGCUUAGAAGCGAACGCAUAUGUAUGCACCCUUCGUACUGCUUAUAUUGCAGUGCUUUGCCCUUUCAUUGCCCCAGUCUAAAAUAUUGUCGAUCGCCGCGAAUCUCCGAGCAGUCCAAUUAAUUCUUUAUUUUCUUCGUUCAACGCGAACCCAUUACUUAUAUCGAGCUCUAAACCAUUGUACAUUUUAACAGACCAAAUAGUAGUUCACGGCCACGCCCCCUUUAAAUUGUAUAAAAUCGUCCAAUAAUAAACAUAUAAACGGCACUCAGUACUACAUCUGUACUUUAGCGGUGUUUUGUCAAAUUUUACAUUUUUUCUUCAUCUGUCAUCUACAUCUACAACACUUCUCACACCAUUACGAACACGAAGCAGUGAAUGAGAGAAUGUGAAAAAAAAACAAAUAUAAGCUGCGGGGCGGGGUGGGUUUAGCCACUGCAUACAUUUUUUUCAUUCCCAAUUCGGUGAUCUGAUAGAUAUGGCCAUUCCCUACGGAAUGGCGUUUUUAGUGUUCUUUUAUCUUCAAAAUUGUAGGUUUGUGAGGUUUUCGCCCUUUUGCGGGGGCGGAAGGGGGUGGGGCUCAUUUUUUAAAUACACUUGUAAUAGUGUGACUCUAGCUUUAAUGGUCUCUAAGAUCCAGGAGCUCAACCAGACGGACAGACAGACAUGGCUCAAUCGACUCGGCUAUUGAUGCUGAUCAGAAUAUAAGUAAUAUUUAAAUAUAACACGGGAAUCACAAAGUGUUAUUAUUUAUUUAUUGUAUUUACCAAAUGAAUGUAAAGAGUGAUUAAUGCUCGCAAGGCGAGACGUUACAUGGUAUCGCCACUCGGCUGAUUAUUAAAAACGAACUUAAGAACCCUAAACUUCCCAACUGUCCUUAGCUGCCGGCCACGGCGAUCGUCGCUGCCCAGCAAAAGUGCUGACCGUGCGCCUCGUGCGCCUCGGCGAUCGCGACGACGGCGAUCCCACGGGUGACGAAACUGCUCAUUUUACAAUAUUGCAGAAUUCGUCCAACCCAGUGGUCAAUUCAGUUAACUCUUGUUAACUACUCCCUCCUUCAAGACUUGCCCGUCCUCCGUCAAGCCCAUGCUCUUCAGCAUCUGCUCUAUAGCGACGGUGUUACCCUUUUGCUGCCUGCUCCGCAUCCACCAGGAAAAGCCGAUAAGUGCAACGCACACGGCUACGCCCACGACACGGUCAGGUGCUGCAGAUUUUCCUCGUUCAGCUUGUGAAGAUACGGCAGGCUCAACAACGUUUGGUGGCGGGUGACAUUAAUCCUCGCCGAGGUAGCUACGCCAGGUACUCUCUUUGUUGGAUUGUUGAAGUUGGUGUAUUUUGUCCCGUUGGGCGACUUGGUCAAAGGUUACCAAGUACGUUCCCGUAACAUUUCGCUAGGGGCCGUCGUCGGUGGUCACAAUGGCGGUGGCAUCGUUGAUUACGACGAUACACUAAUCUAUCUCCAAGAUAGGGGUCAGGUUAUUCGUCUGGGUGUCGCAGUGGGCCACAGCGCCAAAAUGCAGUUCUUGGGCGCAGCUAUGUACCUCCUUACAGACGGCUAAUGAUGGGGGCCCCUUGCAUGAUGAGACAGCGAUGAUCUUGCUGUCGCACUCUGCUAUAAUGUCCUCUGGUAGAUGGAUCGUUACACCCUUGCGUGCGACUGUUGAAGAUGUUUAUUUUCUUAGGUUCUUAGCUUAGGUCUAGGCAUUUCAAUUACAAAGAUAAUUAAUUCGUUAUUCACUAGUGCCCUCACGUUAGCAGCGCCCAAAAGUUGGGCUACACUGAUAUCGGUGGAACCUUUCUUCAAAAUCGCCUCUAAAUCAUUGCUCUCGAUGAUAGCUGGAUUCACGAUAUUUAUUUUAGCCAGCGUAGUGGCGAUCAUUAAGUUCUGCAAUUCGAGCGUCACUUUAUCAGACUUUUUGACCCCAUUUUUAUAUUGACGCCAGCUUUCGUUAGCGUGUCGAGCCCUAUGAUACCAUCAAAAGAUGACAGCUCCGGCACGAGGUGCCGUUAGGAAACAUUUUUGCUCUACUUUAUUGAAGCCGUACAACAAAUGGGGCCUCUACAGUGACAAUUCCCUUAAGUUCUUUUAGUGGUUUGAUAUAAUUUUUUGCGGCCCCAGUGUCUAUUAAAAGGUUUAGCGUUCUCCCUGCUACUGUUCGUCUGACGAACGGGAGCAGUGACUCUACCCUUAAAAAUUGACAGUAUCACUGUCGUAUCCUGCACUAUUGUCCUCAUAAAUCUCCGCCACUGCUUCCGAUGCUAACUGUUCGUAUUGUUGUUCGUCAACCUGAGAGAGGUGAUUGACCCUCUGCCUCCGCUGGUCGGAGAAUCUCUGGGAUGCAGCCGGCCUUUUAUAGGCACCCUGUUGGUGCCCGUUAUUAGGGUUUGCAGUAGCCGGUAGGCCUGGGUUGUGCCCCUGUUGCUUUUGAAAGGCAGUUGGCUGACGGAAUGUUGAGGAAGAUGGAUCAACAUCCAUCAUCUCUAUUUUGUCUUGGCUACGGAUACCGCCUGUUUGAUGGUUCCCCUGAUUGUUCGUGUAAAACGGGUUCUUGAUUGUCUCUUAUAGUGAUCGGGCUCAUUCUGUACGCCCUGCCAAAUAUCCGUGAGGCCUCUUCUUAAGCCUGAAAUAAAGACACGGAGUGCGUCAGCCCUAUACUUUUCGUUAAUUUACUGCGCCUGUGCGGCGUCUUGUGACAUGAUCGUCUUAUUUAUGAGAAGUGAGGGUGAGCUUCUCGACCUCUUCGUAGAACUGAGUGAUGGACAGUCCACCCUGUCGAAGUGUGGCAAGCUCUUGCUCUUGCAAGUGUACCGGACGUUUAUCCGAAGCUAAGUGUGAGUCAGCGGGCCCUCCAAUCUUGUUCCUGAUUAUUAAGACCGCUUGGAAGUGCUUUGAACUUCCUUCAAAACCUCCGUAUAGCUUAUAGGCAACUUUUGCUGCCUGCCGCCAGGAAACAUACUGCUCCUGGGCCCGUUGAAUUCCGGCAGCGUUUUUACCGCAUCCAAAACUUCUUCGCAACUCACCGUUCGGUCCAAGGUGACCGCUUCGUAGACCUUGGCCUCGGCGGCCUGAACUCUUGCAGCCUGCAGCUGGUCAGUUACCUCCUGCAAACGCCGAUUAAAGUCAGCUUUUUCUAUUGCUGGCGCAGAGCUGACCGCUGCCUCUAUAACGGCUUUGAUCUGAUCAGGGUCAAUUUUUAUACUCUUCCUACGGGUUCUAUUUCAAGGUGUAAACUGAGUCCACCGAACAAUCUCUCUAAAUCAAAAAUGGGCAUAAACAGAUUUUUUCUCGGUUGCCCCCUAGCGUGUCGUUUGUCUUUGUCGUGGGUCAGAUCCAGCUCUGCCGGGCCGUUGUUAGUGUUUAUUUUCUUUAAGAAUCAAAUUCAAGUUCCCUCUAACACAGAUCUCGUUGUUGUUGCCCGCCGACAAGAAUGUAUUUAUGGUGCGGUGUUAUGUUUCUUACUUGCGCCUAGAGCACAAAAAAAAAACUUGAGAACAGCCGAAUAUUUUUGAAUAUAAAUAAGUUUUAUCUGUUUGGUUUUGCUUUUACUUUUUGGGCGAUAAUUGAAGAAAAGGUUCACUUACAUGUUCCUCUUUUAUUCUCCACCACUUGGUAUAUUAUAUCUUAUAUUGCUCUGCGUUGUCCACCCCUCUCUUCUAUCGUCGCCGCUGCCCAAAGCCGUCCGCUCUGGUGUAACAGUUUGGGAUUGAUUAAAUGCCUUUUAUUUCCACUCUAGGCCACGAGCUUUUGAGUGCAACUCUUGUGUUUUGGAGCGGGCGUUGUCUCCGCGCUCCACUGUUUUCACUUUUUUUUUCUUUUUUCUCUGGCGGGCUUUGUCCGCACUCGAUGUUCUUCGGUCUUUUGCACUUUUUACCGAUUUUCACUUUGCGGGGGUGGUUCGAUCGCGUUGGGCGCCAGUAAUAUUUAUAUAUAACACGGGAAUUACAAAGUGUUAUUAUUUAUUUAUUGUAUUUACCAAAUGAAUGUAAAGAGUGAUUAAUGCUCGCAAGGCGAGACGUUCAUGGUAUCGCCACUCGGCUGAUUAUUAAAAACGAACUUAAGAACCCUAAACUUCCCAACUGCCCUUAGCUGCCGGCACGGCGAUCGUCGCUGCCCAGCAAAAGUGCUGACCGUGCGCCUCGUGCGCCUCUGCGAUCGCGACGACGGCGAUCCCACGAGUGACGAAACUGCUCAUUUUACAAUAUUGCAGAAUUAGUCCCACCCAGUGGUCAAUUCAGUUAACUCUUGUUAACUUAUAUAUACUUUAUGGGGUCGCAAACGUUUCCUUCUGUGCGUUACAUGCAUUCACUUUGUGCACAAAUACAAUAUACCCUAUUUACUGCUCAAGUACCGGGUAUAAAAACUAAUACGGAAAAUAAUUGUCGUUAAUGUGGCCGGUUAUUCGUUUUCGUUUUCUCUUUCGCCGUCUUGCUUCAGCCUGCGCAACGCACUGUCGAAACCAUGGUAAAAUUACUAAAAAAGUGACUUCAUCAGCUGAGUGGAGGAGAACCAGCUUAUUCACCUCGCUCUCAGAGAGGCAAGCGCUAGAGAGAGAUAGCAAACGUCUAUUAGUAAUUUCACCAUGAUUUCACCAUGAGCAGGUGAUCCUGGUGAGCGGGCACUGUGGUGAAUCCGUCACCUUGUUACUAAUUUCACCAUGGUCGAGACCGGCUGCAUAGAGUUCUAAGCGAGGUCCGUUAGCUUUUUUCGGCUACUCUUUCGUCGUUUGCUUCAGCCAUCUCUCGUGACCGGCUCAAGAACCCUCUUUCGAACUCGAAAUCGGUGCGCUCUCUCGAUCGUUCUCUCGCGCAUAUAUAUAGUGCCGCAAAAGUGAACACAAGAGCUUAAACUUGUACAUGAAGAAACUAUAAGGAGUCAUCGUCGGUGGCAGAGUUAUUCGCAUGUUCUGCCUAUUUUCGGUGCUCGUUUGCUUGUCGAUGCGGAAGGUUGCUUGCGGACGAAAUUUUAAAAAAUGUUUUUAUUUUGUUCAAAAUGUUUAUUUUUUCAAAACACAGACUGCUAUCAUGAAGCAAACUAUUAAAAAUUAAAUUAUGUAACAGUUAUUAUGUUUUUUCUUAUUGCUUUCAAAUGGUUAAUCAGCACACUCCAUUGUCGUUAGCGUCGCACUUACAGCGAGAGCCCUUCCACUCGCACUUUUCACUCGCUCGUUCUGCUUAUCUUUGCCUACGAGACCUCCUUGUAGUUUCUUCAUGAACUUGUAAAUCUCGUUGAAUAAUCGUAUUUAACUGUGAUCGACUAAUACAUUCCGCGUCAACAAUCUAUGGCCAAAACAUGGGAAAUAGAAAAAAUAAUGGAAACGAGAAGGGACGUGUGAAACGCAUCUUACUCGUCACAACUUUUAUACCCGGCACUCAGUACUACAUCUGCACCUUAGCGGUGUUUUGUCAAAUUUUAAAUUUUUUCUUCAUCUGUCAUCUACAUCUACAACACUUCUCAUACCAACACGAUCCUUACAUAUGGCCAUUCCCUACGGAAUGGCGUUUUUAGUUUUCUUUUAUCUUAAAAACUGUAGAUUUGGGAGGUUUUCGCCCUUUAGCGGGGGCGGAGCUCUAGCUCUUAUAGUCUCUGAGAACUAGCCGACAAACAAGACGGACAGACAGACAUGGCUCUAUCGACUCGGCUAUUGAUGCUGAUCAAGAAUAUAUAUACUUUAUGGGGUCGGAAACGCUUCCUUCUGUGCGUUACAUACAACCGUUAUUCCCCACAAAUACAAUAUACCCUAUUUACUCUUCGAGUACCGGGUAUAACUAACUACGGGAGAGGUAGGCUAGUAUGGGAGAUUUAAGAAGAAGAAGGGAGUUAGUUGAUGUUAUAAUGUGGUAGAGGGAAUUAUAAUCUGAGCAUAAAACCCUAAAGGGUUCGUGUGAGGCAUAAUUCGAUCUACAUAGUGGAAGGAACAAAGGAAUAAAGUUUCUAGUGGCUCCAAUGGGAAUCUUAAAGUUUACGCGGCUCAACAAGUCAGGGCUGUCUACAUCCCCCUUGAUCAAGUUGUGCAUACAAAUUACAGCAAGCAUUUUUCUACGACUAACUAAGGAUGGAAGAUUUAUUAAAAGAAGUCUACUACGGUAGGAUGGCAGUCUCACAGUUGCAUCCCAGUUGAGGCCCCGUAGGGCAAAUAAUAAAAAGUUUUUCUGUACUGAUUAAAUACGGUCCUGAUGUAUGUUGUACUGAGGGCACCAUACACAUGAACCGUACUCUAAAAUCGGACGAACAAGCGAGAUAUAGAGAGUCUUAAUUAUAUAGGGGUCAUCAAAUUCCUUUGACCACCUCUUUAUAAACCCAAGCACACCCAUGGCUUUAUUUACCAUGGUAGAAAUGUGUUCAGAAAACUUUAAAUUGGGGUCUAGUUUAACACCUAGAUCAUUAUCCAAUGUAAUUCUCUCAAGAGAACUACCGCAGAGGGUGUAAGGAGCCAGGAAGGGGCCGGAGCGAUAACAUUGCAUUUCGAGGCAUUAAGGUGUAACAUAUUUGCACCACACCAGGGCUGAAAGCUUUUGAGAUCUGAUUGCAGGCGAGAGUGAAAUGAAAUGUCCUCAUAUUGGACGCAGAGCUUAACAUCAUCCGCAUAUAUAAGUACUCGAGAAUUUGUCAAUACACAAGGCAGGUCAUGUGUUAAAAGUAAGGGGCCUAAAUGGCUACCCUGUGGUACUCCAGAAGUAACCAUAACAGGUAAAGAUAAGGUAUUUUGCAAUUAUGAAUUAUUAUGCCCUAAUUGCCUACGAAAGGGCCAUCAUAUGAAGGAUUGUAAAUCCGGUCCCUGCCGAACUUGUCGAUCGAUCACCACACGCUUUUGCAUUUCGUUCGUCCAACAUUUCAAUCUGCUUCUACGAGUAAAGCCUCGCAACAACAACCAAUUCAUAGCGCCGUGGUUGCGAUUUCGUCCUUAUUGCCUCAAGCCCCAAUAUCCCAUAGAGAUAAGAGCAUAGGAGAUGCUAGCUUCUCAACUGAAGGUAUCUCGGUGGAUCUCGUUCUGAAAUCGCGGAUUUCAGAUUUCACCACUAGCAUCACUUCCGUCGUUACCCAGAAGAUCACGUACAAUCAACCUAGCAACUCAAUUACCACAGCUUGCUGACCCUUCGUUCCAUAAGUCGCAACAGAUUGACUUGCUCAUCGGAGCUGGACUUUUCUUCGAGUUGAUGUGUGUGGGACAAAUUCAGCUGGCGCCUGGACUGCCGUCACUGCAGAAGACACAUCUCGGAUGGUUCAUAUCUGGUGGCGGGCUUUCUGCCCCCAGGCUUUCGUCGUUUCUCACAGCGCAAUCUUCGGAUUGCGGGAACAACAUAUCAUAUUGCGAUCAUUCGGGCGGGCAAUCGUCUCCUAACCUAUCGUCGCUUUUAACAGCCCAAUCUUCGGAUUGCGGGCACUCUGGGGGGCAAUCGUCCCCCUACCUAUCGUUGUUUAUCGCCGCACAGUCUUUGGCUUCCUUACACUCGGGUGUGCAUUUCGCCCACAACACAUCUUCGUUCAGUACAACCCAAUCUUCGGAUGACUCCAAUCACAGCACUCGGCUCGAUGAGUUGAUUAAUCAAUUUUGGGAAGUGGAGCUCACAUUUGGACUGAUCGCUCGGGCUGCAAAGGAGGAGCAUCAUUGUGAGGAGCAUUUCGUUACUAACACUCGUCUGGUGGAGGGCACUCGGCCACCACUCUAUCGUCGUUUAUCGUCUAAGUGUGUCAACAUCUCGCUUUCUUUAGAGUACAUUAACUCAUUCGGAGGCAUGAUGCGCCUUUGUGGAAACGUUCAACAGUGGGACGAAAUCGCCGCAUUUCUUGUCUUAGAACCUACCAAAGGAUCGAGUGGAGGAUUCGCCUGCAUUUAACGUCACUGGAAUUGACUACGGCAGUGCCUUCUACAAUGACUUAUAUUUGAGAGUAAUAGCACUUCUCUAUCAUCGUUUCGGGAUACUAUUGGCAUCAGUCAAGAAGAAAGGACUUAAUUUUUAUUGCUCCGUGGGAUCUUCCCUUUUUACUUUUGAUGAGCUGCGGACCUUGGUCUGCCAAAUCCAGGCUGUAAUCAAUUCUCGACCUCUUAUCGCUAUUUCAGAAAACCCUGAAGAUCUUGGCGUCCUCACACCAGGACAUUUUCUAAUUGGUCGUCCGCUGAUGGAGUUUUCCAAGCCAGACGUAACGGGUCUACACAUCAAUAGAUUGGAUUGCUGGCAACGAAUCAAUUGUGCCCAGUAAAUCUUUUGGAAGCGUUGGAGUGAGGAGUACUUGACUCUGCUCCAACAACGUGCCAAAUGGCGCACAUCGCAGCCUUCGAUUCAAGUCAACGACGUCGUCUGCAUCAAGGAUAAGAACCUGCCGCCGUUGAAGUGGCCUUUGGCCAGGGUGAUCGAGGUCAUAGCUGGAGGCGAUGGGACUGUGCGAGUUGCAGUCCUGCGGACACCAUCCGGAACCACUCGUCGAGCUGUCAACAAGAUGUGCCUCCUACCCGUUGAGGAUCCUGUUAAAAGCCCUGGUCUUUCAACGGGGGUGUAUGUUCGGAGCAGCAGCAAAUAUAUAAUUGUAAAGAUCAGCUCGCCUUGUUUACAUUUAUACUCUCUUUUAUUAAUAUGCUAUUGUCAUCGCUCAUCGCUCCCUCUCACAGUGCAUAGAAGCGCACGCAUAUGUAUGCACGCUUCGUACUGUUUAUUUUGCAGUGCUUUGCCCUAUUCUUGCCCCAGUCUAAAAUACUGUGAUCCAUUGUACAAUUGAACAAACCGAAUCGUAGUUCAAGACCACGCCCCCUUUAAAUUGUAUAAAAU
rnacentral:lncRNA from 1 species